rnacentral:rRNA from 1 species
CCUACGGGAGGCAGCAGUGAGGAAUAUUGGUCAAUGGGCGAGAGCCUGAACCAGCCAAGUAGCGUGAAGGAUGACUGCCCUAUGGGUUGUAAACUUCUUUUAUAAAGGAAUAAAGUGAGGCACGUGUGCCUGUUUGUAUGUACUUUAUGAAUAAGGAUCGGCUAACUCCGUGCCAGCAGCCGCGGUAAUACGGAGGAUGCGAGCGUUAUCCGGAUUUAUUGGGUUUAAAGGGUGCGUAGGCGGGCUGUAAAGUCAGCGGUAAAAGCGGGGGGCUCAACCCCGGCGAGCCGUUGAAACUGGGGAUCUUGAGUGGUCGAGAGGUAUGCGGAAUGCGUAGUGUAGCGGUGAAAUGCGUAGAUAUUGCGCAGAACUCCGAUUGCGAAGGCAGCAUACCGGCGCCGAACUGACGCUGAGGCACGAAAGCGUGGGUAUCGAACAGGAUUAGAUACCCGUGUAGUC